AUGAACGCUAGCUACAGGCUUAACACAUGCAAGUCGAGGGGAAACGACAUCGAAAGCUUGCUUUUGAUGGGCGUCGACCGGCGCACGGGUGAGUAACGCGUAUCCAACCUGCCCACCACUUGGGGAUAACCUUGCGAAAGUAAGACUAAUACCCAAUGACGUCUCUAGAAGACAUCUGAAGGAGAUUAAAGAUUUAUCGGUGAUGGAUGGGGAUGCGUCUGAUUAGCUUGUUGGCGGGGUAACGGCCCACCAAGGCGACGAUCAGUAGGGGUUCUGAGAGGAAGGUCCCCCACAUUGGAACUGAGACACGGUCCAAACUCCUACGGGAGGCAGCAGUGAGGAAUAUUGGUCAAUGGGCGAGAGCCUGAACCAGCCAAGUAGCGUGCAGGAUGACGGCCCUAUGGGUUGUAAACUGCUUUUAUAAGGGAAUAAAGUGAGUCUCGUGAGACUUUUUGCAUGUACCUUAUGAAUAAGGACCGGCUAAUUCCGUGCCAGCAGCCGCGGUAAUACGGAAGGUCCGGGCGUUAUCCGGAUUUAUUGGGUUUAAAGGGAGCGUAGGCCGGAGAUUAAGCGUGUUGUGAAAUGUAGACGCUCAACGUCUGCACUGCAGCGCGAACUGGUUUCCUUGAGUACGCACAAAGUGGGCGGAAUUCGUGGUGUAGCGGUGAAAUGCUUAGAUAUCACGAAGAACUCCGAUUGCGAAGGCAGCUCACUGGAGCGCAACUGACGCUGAAGCUCGAAAGUGCGGGUAUCGAACAGGAUUAGAUACCCUGGUAGUCCGCACGGUAAACGAUGGAUGCCCGCUGUUGGUCUGAAUAGGUCAGCGGCCAAGCGAAAGCAUUAAGCAUCCCACCUGGGGAGUACGCCGGCAACGGUGCAACUCAAAGGAAUUGACGG
rnacentral:rRNA from 1 species